rnacentral:rRNA from 1 species
UAGGGAAUAUUGGACAAUGGGCGAAAGCCUGAUCCAGCCAUGCCGCGUGUGUGAAGAAGGUCUUCGGAUUGUAAAGCACUUUAAGUUGGGAGGAAGGGCAGUAAGUUAAUACCUUGCUGUUUUGACGUUACCGACAGAAUAAGCACCGGCUAACUCUGUGCCA